CCUCCAAAUUAUUCUAAAUGAUAAACUAGCUAUUUGGUUUUUUUUUUCUUUUCUUCUUUUGCUUGAUUGCAAAAGUGUAUCUCACUUCCCGAUCUCCACUCCCAGCUACAAACGCAACACUGCUACCGACUCAUAUUCCAUUUCUUCACCAUUGUUUCUUCAUCCUCCUAAUGUAUCAAUUGCUUUCAUAUCAAACUUCCUUCGCACAUUCCAUUCAUGUUUCGACGAUUCCAUCGCCGCUCGCUGCGCGCACCAUUUCCCUUACUCAAUUCCAAUUCAACUUACAGAAUACACUCUCGAUCUUCCGGAAGAUGUUGCUGUAUGUCAGUAAACUGUCAAAAUGGAACCGAAGAGAUGAACUUGAGCGAGGGUGUUUUCCGUAAAUUUGGUUGUUUAACGUUCAUUAGAAAGAGAAGGCUAUGGUUUUGUGGUAGUUGAUUUUCAUUUGGAUGCGGAGAAAGCUUUGAGCAUUGAAAGGUAGAAAUCGGCGGAUGCAACAGACAAGAACCAACAUUCGCAGGAGGACAAUAAUUAGAAUAUAACCAAACCAAUCAUUGCUGUGAAAUUCUCUUCCAGGAUGGUAAAAUGGGCAGAGAGCUUUCAGCAUUCCGGAACACUGGUGGCGGAUGAUAUUCCAACUAAAUUUCGGAAGCCAACUCUGGAAACUCAUAUUUAUCCUCGUUCUGGCUGUUCAAUCAUCAUAUCUACAGAGGAAAUGUGCCUGGUUCUUAGUAAAAGUGGCCUAGAACUUUUCUGGUGCUGCUUGGUUGUGGCCUUGGUAUGUUAUUUAUUACCGGAGGUUGAAGAGGGCCUAAUUUCAACCGAGAACUAUGCCGGCCGGGUUGCUCAGAAUCAGGAAUUUGGCAUUGUUGAUAAAUACAUAAUAAACAGUAGUGGAUGGGGAGAAUUCAGUCUUGAAAACUCUUGAUAGCUGGUACUGUCACAAAUGAUGCCCCAUCGGUAGAUUUAUACCAAAUGGGCUCUGUGUCUAUGGCGUUUCUUUUUUAUCUUCACGGCUCUGGAUGGAAUUCAGAUGUGAUUAUUCAGUAAUGAUUUUCGAAGAACUUUGCCCUGGGUGUGUCAUGGAGAAAAAGGUGUUGCUCAUCAUCCAAAUUUAAUCACUUGUCUGGUAACUGGUAUUCAAUUACUAUAGCUCUUCUCUUUCUUUUAUGAGGAUUGAGGAGGGUGGGUUUUGGAUUAAAUGUUAGUAACAGAUGUGUAAUUAAUAGUUAUAUUAAUCUCGCGUUUACCAACAUCUCUGUGGGAAAGUAGGAAUCAGAAAGGAAAGACAUUUCCAUAAUGGCUAACUUGUUUUGAUUAACAUGGUACUGUAUAGUAUAGAAGAUGGAAAAUACAUUGGUAUAUGGAAAAUUGCGAAAAUGCAUUUGGCUGGUGUUACCAAAAAUAAUUUUCUUUCCUUGUGACAUAAGGAAUAGGAAUAGGGAAUUUGUGAAGAGGAAGAAUAAGAGUUUAAGGAGAUAAGAGCUUGCAUUUCUCUGCUAGUUUUGCCCUUCAUUGGAUUUUUGUUGUUUUUUGAUUCAGUUUUAAUGAGUCAGCAAUUAAUAUUCCACAUCAGAUUUAUUAUGGCAGGUCACACAGGGCCAAAUCACUAGAAAUUUGUCGCAUCAAUUAAACAAAAAAAAACUCACUAGGGAUUAAAGUGACUGUUUUAAAUAUCGUAGGGAUUGGGACAAAAAAACAAAACAAAAAUUAGUGGAACGAAAAUCAAAUUUAAACCUAAUAUAAUAUUUAAUAACAAAAUAAAUAGAUAGAUAAUGCUUUAAAAAUAUAGAUUGAUAGAUAAGGGCUGUCAAAAAAAAAAGAUGGAUAGGUAAGGUGGAAAUUAUAGGUAGAUACUCAUUACACUUAUUUCUCCUAAAAAAAAUGCUCAUGUCUGGAAGUUAACUUCCGGAUGCGAUCUAUAAAUUUUCUUCGAAUGAUUUCACUUUGAAAAUGACUGAAAGGGUUUGUCCUGAAGUUAAAAUGCGAAUACUAUAUCGGCAGGAAAUGGUAAACUUCAAGCAUUUCUGCGAAAUAAAAAUUUGCAGGCAAUUCCAGAGUAAAAUCUGCAGAAAAUUUGUCACAGGUAGUUAACUUCCGGAUACAACCUGUUCCAUUUUGAACUUUCAAAAAAUUCCGUAGGUAUAUCCAUAGGAAAUGUGAAAUAUUAGCAAAACCUAUUGAAUUUGCUACGAAAAUUUCAAGGUGCGUCCAAAAGCUAACUUCCGAACGUGACAUUUUUGGAAUUUUAUAAAGUUUUGGAGAAAUAUAUAUAUAGGGUUUAUUGAGUAUCCCAAAUUAUACUGGCUGAUACCAAUAUAACCUGUAAUGAUUUAUUUAUGAGCCUAGGACUAACAUAGUACUAUCAUCCUGCAGUUCUAAGACUUUACUCGCAUUGAUUUCUGGUUUAAUGCAUUGAUGUUCCUUUUAUGGACCCUGUUUUUUUGAAAAGGAAGGUAAGGAAGGGUUAUGAUUUUAUGAUACCGACUUCAUUUUGUUUGGUAUCACGAUCAUCAAGGAGAUUGGUGGAUUAGUUUUCUGCGUGCUCAUUUGAAUUUGUAUUAUUUGCAUUUCUUCACGCAAAAGAAAAGUGAGAUGGAAAAUAUAUCUUAAAUAAAUAGAGAUCAAAGGAAGUGCAUUGUUAGAAUAAACUAUUUUUAAGGUAAUGCUAACUUGUGUCCUAGGGGCACAAGUUAAGAAAGUUAUUUAUAGAAAGUUUGUAUUAGAAAAAAUAAUUAAAAAAUUAAUUUUAUACUUUUAUUAAAGUCAAUCCACAAUUUCCAAGAUAACAUUUCUUCAUUUGGUUCUUAACUUGUGCCCCUGGGGCACAAGUUAGUAUUAUCCCUAUUUUUAUACCAUCAUCCAAUAGAAUUAUAACAUUCUAUCAUAUCAGUAUUUUAAAGUUAAACGUGUGAUUUGGUGGGAUGCACGUCUCUAAUUGAUUGACGGUGUAAAAAUAUUUUACACGGGCGGUGUAUAUUCUUGUUUCUCAUAAAUAUUCACAUU